rnacentral:sRNA from 2 species
AACUCUUCUGAAGUUGACCUCGAAUCAGGUAGGAAUACCCGCUGAACUUAAGCAUAUCAAUAAGCGGAGGAAAAGAAACCAACAGGGAUUGCCCCAGUAACGGCGAGUGAAGCGGCAACAGCUCAAAUUUGAAAUCUGGCUCUCGGGCCCGAGUUGUAAUUUGUAGAGGAUGCUUUUGGUGAGGUGCCUUCCGAGUUCCCUGGAACGGGACGCCAUAGAGGGUGAGAGCCCCGUCUGGUUGGACGCCGAACCUCUGUAAAGCUCCUUCGACGAGUCGAGUAGUUUGGGAAUGCUGCUCUAAAUGGGAGGUAUAUGUCUUCUAAAGCUAAAUACCGGCCAGAGACCGAUAGCGCACAAGUAGAGUGAUCGAAAGAUGAAAAGAACUUUGAAAAGAGAGUUAAACAGUACGUGAAAUUGUUGAAAGGGAAGCGCUUGUGACCAGACUUGGGCUUGGUUGAUCAUCCGGGGUUCUCCCCGGUGCACUCUUCCGGCCCAGGCCAGCAUCAGUUCGCCCUGGGGGACAAAGGCUUCGGGAACGUGGCUCUCUCCGGGGAGUGUUAUAGCCCGUUGCGUAAUACCCUGUGGCGGACUGAGGUUCGCGCAUUCGCAAGGAUGCUGGCGUAAUGGUCAUCAGUGACCCGUCUUGAAACACGGACCAAGGAGUCGUCUUCGUAUGCGAGUGUUCGGGUGUCAAACCCCUACGCGAAAUGAAAGUGAACGCAGGUGAGAGCUUCGGCGCAUCAUCGACCGAUCCUGAUGUUAUCGGAUGGAUUUGAGUAAGAGCAUACGGGGCCGGACCCGAAAGAAGGUGAACUAUGCCUGUGUAGGGUGAAGCCAGAGGAAACUCUGGUGGAGGCUCGCAGCGGUUCUGACGUGCAAAUCGAUCGUCAAACAUGGGCAUGGGGGCGAAAGACUAAUCGAC